AGGCAAUGUGAUGUGGGCACUUUCUCAAUAAGUCCUUGAAUCUUUCCCAAGCUUCAUACAAGCUUUCUUGAUCAUGGUGAGCGAAUGUCAUUAUCUUAUUGCCCAGUUU
rfam:Jatropha curcas cultivar GZQX0401 scaffold112_27, whole genome shotgun sequence.